rnacentral:rRNA from 2 species
UGCAGAAUCCCGUGAACCAUCGAGUCUUUGAACGCAAGUUGCGCCCGAAGCCAUUAGGCUGAGGGCACGUCUGCCUGGGCGUCA